rnacentral:lncRNA from 1 species
GGUAAACGACAAACAUAUUUAUUUUGUCGAUUUUUUAAUUAUUAAUUUCUUUCAUUGUACAUUUUCCAAAUUCAAGACUGACAAAAAAAGAAAACUUAUUUCUUUGAGACAAAAGAAGAAACAUGGAUGAGUGAGAGAAAAUGUAGUGAGAAAAAAUGUGCUGAGAGAAAAUGCUCUCGGGCUCUCUUCCCCACUCUCCUUUUCCGUCUUUCUUUUUUCAAAAUUGAAUCAAUCUCCUCCAUUCCUUUCCAAUACUAAACAAAUCUCUACCACUAGAUUUUCCAAUCUUAUCAAUUCUUCCAGCGUUUUUCUUAAGAGUUACAAAAAUAUCCAAAACUCUGUUACUUUGUUUCUCAGAAACAUGGAGAGAUUGAAGACCAAGGAGAAAGCCCCCAUCUUUUAAGGCUUUUAACAACCUGAGAAGCUUUUCUCCCUGUUUGGGAAGUCCAGAUCUAAAAACGAAAAUCUGCUUGGAUCUAUUCACUUUUCAUCUGGUCAUUUUACUUGUUUCUACCAAAAGCUCAGAUCUGAUUUGGAGUUUUGAAAAAAAAGAACAGAUGAUGGAGUCCACUUCAAAGAAGCCGAGAAUCUUUGCUCCUCUAAUCGCUAGAGUUCUGACUCGGGGAUUUCUCAAACAUAACAAAGCCUCGGCUCCAUGAAUUUCCGUGAAACUCCACAGAUCCCUCCCAUCUCUUGCUAAAGAACAUAUCUCAAAUUGGAAAUCUUCAUCAAUCUCUCAAAAACUCUCCGUCAACCCUCCGUCAAGAUCACUCGACCAUCUUCGUCAACUUUAAACUCUUCUAGCCUUGUGCUAAGUCUCUCCUAAAGAAUUGUGUUUCGAGAUCUAUACAACCCUGCCAUAGCGGCAGCUAUCUUGCUAACUCAAGUCUUCAAACAACACAAGCUCGUUUUCAUAAGCCUUCUAGCCUAGUGCUAAGAUUAUCCCACCAAAUCUCUCUCUCUGCGUCCUCCAAUACGAAUAUCCAUCGCCGGAAGCCAUCAUCACGUUUUUUCUCAAGCUGCUUCUCUUAUAAUCAAGUCUGAAGCUUUCUCCCUUCUUGGGAAGAUUUGGUUAAUCUAUCAAACAAAAGAAGAAGAAGAAGUAGAGUGCUUUGUAUUCCUCCCAUCUCAGAAAAAAAAAGGAGAAGAAAUCUGAUCGUGUAAUUCCAAGCUUUUGCUAAGAUUGUAUUUAUAUGAAUUAAUUCGAAGAUCUAUCUUGCCUUUAGAAAGAUUGAUCACAGAAGGGUUUAAGCAAACUGAGCUCCAGACAAAUAAAAUAUAAAAUCCCAAUUAAGAGGAAAUAAAAAAAAAAACUUGAUCGCAGAAAACGCCGGAGGGCGGUGGAUCAGAUCAGUUUCGGUGGUGGCAAAGUGUCUUUUCUCCAUAUUAACCAUUCAUCGUUAUUCAACGGCAAAAAGGAAGAGAAGCGUACAGGAUCUGGCCCAAGACCAAGAAAGAAGUAAAGUGAUAAGCCCAAACGAAAAAUUUCCAAGGCCCAAAACCAUCAGAUGUCCAGAAACUAACUCCAGAAACUAUUGUCUGUAAUGAACGUCAUCGGGUGGAAUUGUCAAGGAGCUGGUUCGGAUUUGACAAAAGAUCAUUUGGAAGAACUUUAUAAAUGUUUUCAACCGAGAUUUCUAUUUUUGUCGGAGACCAAAAAUAAACGUUACUUUCUGCAAGACAUGCAAGUUCAUUUUGGAUAUGAUCAUGUUUUCACUAUUGAACCGAGAGGUCGAAGUGGCGGUCUAGCCCUUUUUUAUAUGGAUGAAUCUUCAGUUACUAUCUCCUAUUCGGAUGAACAUCUUAUUGAUGUAGAAACUAGUCUAGACGGACAUAAAAUAUUUUUGACGUUCGUUUAUGGAGAUCCGGUCAUUAAAAACCGAGAAUAUGUAUGGGAACGUCUCACUAGAAUGAGCCUCUCUAGAAAAGAAGCCUGGUUUAUGAUUGGAGAUUUCAAUGAAAUCUACGGAAACCAUGAGAAACGGGGAGGACGCAGGAGACAAGAAUACUCUUUUAUCCCUUUCCGAACCAUGUUAGAUAAUUGUGGGAUGCUCGAAUUUCCGUAUAAAGGAAAUUCUUUCUCAUGGGUCGGAAGAAGACGUAACGGAAAAGUCAAAUGUCGUCUCGAUAGAGCCGUGGGGAAUGAAGAAUGGCAAUCUAUCUUCCCCCACACCUCGGUGGAAUAUCUUAAAUUAUGGGGUUCAGACCAUUGUCCCGUUAUGGCCAGAAUUCAAGUGGAUAAUCGACGGAGGAAGAAAUCAUUUAGAUUUGAUAAAAGAUGGUUGGGAAAACCAGGUUUCAAAGAGGCGGUAAUCUCCGGCUGGAGCUCUUUGGAUGGAAUCACUCGUCGGGAUUUCCAUCGCAAAGUAGCUAAUUGUCGUACGAGUAUCUCUAAGUGGAAAAAGUCCCAAUCAUCAAAUUCAGAGAAGAUGAUUGAGGAACUGAAAAACCAAUUGGAUGCGGCCCAAGACGACGAAAACUCAACAUUAGAAGAAGUAGAAGAUAUUAGAAGGAACCUUUGUGCUGCUUUACGCGAGGAAGAAACCUUCUGGAAACAGAAAAGUCGUGAACAAUGGCACAAAGCCGGGGACAGAAACACGAAAUUCUUUCAUGCGCUCACAAAACAAAGGAGAAGCCGGAAUCGAAUUGUCGCCCUGAGGGACAGGAAUGGGAAUUGGGUGGAAAAUGCACGAGGUAUUGAACGGGUAGCUUCCCACUACUUCCAAGACUUGUUCACCUCGUCACAACCCCCAGACCCAGAUAAUGCACUCCGGUUCAUCACCGAGAAAGUGACAGAAUCUUCUAACCAGAUCCUCCUCAAAGACCCCAUAGAAGCAGAAAUUAAAGAAGCUCUCUUCGAUAUUAAUCCAGAUAAAGCCCCGGGACCGGAUGGAAUGACAAGCAAGUUUUACCAAAGGUUCUGGCAGGAUUUCCGCCAUGAUAUUGUGAAAUUAGUUAAAGAUUUCUUCACAUCAGGAUCUUUUGAUCCUAGACUCAAUCAGACCAACAUAUGUCUUAUCCCUAAGAAAGAAAAGCCUAGAGCUAUGACGGAGUUCCGUCCGAUUAGCCUUUGCAACGUGAGCUAUAAGAUAAUCUCAAAGCUCAUUUGUAAACGACUUAAAAAGACAUUACCUAAUCUAAUCUCAGAGACUCAAUCGGCUUUCAUGGCUAGGAGGCUGAUCACCGACAAUAUUCUGUUGGCACAAGAAAAUUUUCAUGCACUUCGUACUAACUCGGUGUGCAGAGAAAACUUUAUGGCCAUCAAGACAGAUAUGAGCAAAGCAUACGACAGAGUGGAAUGGAGCUUCAUUAAAGCCCUAAUGAUCAAGUUGGGCUUCUCUGAGAGAUGGGUCAAGCUUCUGAUGUUCUGUAUUUCUUCGGUAUCCUACCAAGUGUUGAUAAACGGAGAACUAAAAGGACAUAUCACUCCAUCACGAGGAUUGAGACAAGGAGACCCCCUCUCUCCGUUUUUGUUUAUCCUAUGCACCGAGGCUCUUAUCUCACUCCUAAAUGGAGCAGAAAGGGAAAACCAAAUUUUUGGGCUAAAAAUUGCCCAAGCAAGCCCACCAGUUUCCCAUCUAUUAUUCGCGGAUGAUAGCUUGUUCUUCUGUCGAGCGGACAUCCAACAAGGAACCGAGAUCUUUAGGAUCAUCAACACAUAUGGCUCAGCCUCGGGACAACAACUUAAUCUGGGCAAAUCAUCCAUCAUGUUUGGGAAUCGAGUUCACCCGACAUUGAAGCAAGGUAUCAAGGACGCCAUCGGAAUCUCGGCAGAGGGUGGCAUGGGCAUGUACCUGGGCCUCCCAAAACAAAUUUGUGGAUCAAAAAAGAAAGUUUUCUCCUACGUCCAUGAUCGACUGAGUAACCGAGUAAAUUCCUGGUCUGCAAGACUUCUUUCCAAAGGUGGAAAAGAAAUUCAGAUAAAAUCGGUCGCCCAAGCUGUCCCUACUUACGUCAUGUCAUGCUUUCUAUUACCCCAAGGAGUGACUGACAAGUUACGGAGUGCCAUUGCUAAUUUCUGGUGGAGUUCGAAACAGAAUAAUAGAGGGAUUCACUGGAUUGCUUGGGACAAGAUUUGUAUCCCCCAAGAUAUGGGAGGCCUAGGAUUUCGGGAUCUACAGGAUUUCAAUUUAGCUCUUCUAGCUAAACAGCUAUGGCGUCUUAUCCAGUACCCUUUAUCUCUGCUGGCUAGGGUCUUACGAGGACGAUACUAUAGACAAUCUGACCCGUUGGAAGAUCGUAGAGUCUACUCCCUGUCCUAUGGGUGGAGGAGUAUUUUAGCUGCAAAACCAUACCUAAUGAUGGGAUUGCGGAAGACGAUAGGGUCGGGUCUAAAUACAAGGGUCUGGUGCGAACCAUGGAUCCCGGACACUAGAGCUCGGCCGGCGAGAGCCACCCCACAGAUCGGCUACCAGGACCUGGGAUUACUCGUUUACCCCUUUAUUCGACAAGAUACAAAGCAGUGGGAUGUUCCCCUUCUGAGAAAUUUCUUCCAACCCGAAGAUGUCUCUCUCAUCCUAGGGUUGAGACCUAGCCGGAACCGUACCUUACCGAGUGAAAAUGUCCUGGCGGACAGUCUUGCAAAAGGAUCCCGAGUAAGAGGACAAAUAUUCACCCACAUUGAUCAUACCGAGUCGGUUGAGGAUGGCCCCCAAAACUGCUCUCAGCCCGGCCAACAUUGAUGUAAUAGUUGGGUAGUCGACAAAAAAAAAAAAAAAAUAUUAAUUUCUUUCAAUGUUCAUUCCAUAAUUAUUUUUGUUUUGGUUUAAAAAACUAAUUUUCCUUAGAUACGAGAAUAAGAUUUGUGCUUAUUAGUUUUAUUUUUCACUUGUAAAUUAAACUGAAAAUUUGUAUUGAUAAAAGUAGCUAAAAUUUUAACUAUCUUUUUUUUUUCUGUAUUCCAUAGAAAACAUAUAUAACGAGAAUGAAAUUAAAUAAAAUGAAAAAAACUUAUUCACUUUGAUUGGAAGAAGUGAGGUAUAAUCAUUAAAAAUUAUUUAAAAGUUAACAUAAAUAAUAUGAUACAAGACAAAAGUUAUCAUGAAUCCGAAAGCAAGAAUUGCAAUUAUUAGUUUCUUUUUCAAUGUAGUAUAUUAAAUUAGAAAUUUGUAUUGGUUAAAUUAGCUAAGAAAGUAAAAUAAUUUUAUAUUUAUUAUGUUUUGUUAUUUUAUAGAAAAUGUAUAUAAAGAGGAUGAAACUAAAAUGAUGAAAAACAAUGAUUUUUUAAUUAUUUAGAGAACUGAUAUAGAAUUUAUAAUCUUGUAUCAAUAUUAUGAUUAAUAAAUAGCAUUUGAUCACUUUGUCACACUUUUAGUUAGCUUUUAGUAUAUUAUUUAUAAAUAUUAUAUCAAAUUAUAAGUUUUCCAAACAUAACAUAGUAUAUAUAUAUUCAAAAUCAGAUCAUGAAACCUCACAAAUUAGAUAUUAUUUUUAAGAUUAAAACUAUAAUUUUCUUUAUACAUACUAUUAUAUUAAAAUAUAUAUAAAAUAAUAUUUUAUUAAAUAUAAUUAAUUGCAUAUAGUUUUUUUAUCAAAAUAUUAUUUAAAAAGAAGAGAUUGACAAACUUUAAAAAAUUCUUGUGGCCGCGCAAGGCGCAGACUUAAUACCUAGUUUUACAUAAAGAGAAAUUGACAAACUUUGUUACUAAAUAAUUUAAUGUAAUAAACCAUAACUAAUUUUCUCAUUAUGUUAAAGUGAUAACAUACUAUGAAAAAGUCCAAUAUUAGCUAUUUUUUUUUUUUUUAAAAUCUCCAAAAAAAUGCUAUAAACAAAGUAUAUAUUUAACACAUAUAGAAAUUUAGGGUUUUGUAUUUUUGUCAUUUAGAAAUGAUAAAAUUUAUGAAAUAUGGUAUCUCUACUAUUGCAAUUUUUUUGUUAUUAGAAUAAAAUUAAAUUGGUUUGGAAGGAAAUAGUAUAUUCUAUAGUAUAGAUAUAUUCAUGGUAUUUGUUUCCUUUAAAAAUUUUGAAGUUAUUUAUAUAUUUUGGUUCAAUAAUAUGAUAAUAAGCUAAAAUUUUAGGCUUUAAGUUAUAAUUUUUUUUCUUGUUGGCAAUAAAUAUUAUGUAAUGCAUAUGUUUAAAUUGGAUGAUGAUACAAUAACCACAUUAGUGCAAACCAUUUAGUUAUACAUAUCCUAGUUAAGCUAUAUAUUAAUUUUUGGUUAAUUUUGACUUUUUAUAAAACAGUUUGCCAGCAUAUAUAGUUUUAUUUUCUAGAUAACAAAUCUGGUAGAAUUAAUAGAAAUUUUAAGUUUUAUGGUACACAUUAUCACCAUUAGAAAAAUGCUAUUAAAUAGUAUUUUUUAAAAAGUGUAAUUUUAAUUUCCUUACUAAAAAUAAACAAAAUCAUAAAUCACGAGAAAAAUAUUUACUAGCAUUAAAUAUGGGUUAUUUUUUGGUAAUUAUAUCUUCUAGAAAAAUUUCUAUAAAUAUUUUGAAACCGCAAAAACAAUUGGUACAUCUCUGAAAAAAAAUCAUCGCAUAACAAAAACAAUGCAAAGAGAGAUUGUUAGACCUUACAGUAAGUCAAAAAUACCGCGACUGCGAUGGACCACCGAUCUUCAUCAAUAUUUUGUCCAUGCUGUUGAACAACUCGGUGGCGAAAAGAGUAACCAAUUUUUUUUCCAUUAUUCUUCAGAACAACAAAUACAAUUUCUCACUUUUUACCAUAUAAUCAAUAAGCUCUUUUUUAUUUUUGUUUUACCAAUUGUGUUAUUUUUCUCAGCUUUCAAAAUUUCAACUAUUAUAUCUUACACAUAGUAUAUUCUUUAUAUCCUUUAAGAAAAAUAUUAAUUUUUAUAAAAGUCUAUCUUAUGAUUAUUCUUAAAUUUGAAGGAGCGACUCCUAAAAAGAUUUUGAAGUCAAUGGGUGUGAAAACAAUCACAAUAUCGCAUGUGAAAAGCCAUCUUCAGGUACUUAUAUAUAUACACACAUUUUAUGAACUACAUAUAUAUAUCACUAUCUAUAUAUGUAAAAAUUUAUAGUGUGAUAAUAUUGAUUCUGAUCCUGGUGUAUAUGUAAUCAAAUGUAUACGUUUAUUUCAAUAGGUGUAUAGGAACAUGAAGCAUGAAGAGUCUAUACAAGGUAAAUAAAUAUGAUUUACACUUUACUUUAUCAUUUACACUUCACUAUAUUAAUGUAUAAAUAUCUUUGUACUUAAACUGUUUCGCAUAAUCCUAAUAUGUAUGGAUCCAUGAAAUAUAUAUAUGUACAUGCAAAUCUAAAGCAAAAAAUAGAAUGAUACGGCAACUGAGAUGGCGGCAAACUCAACAAUACCUUCGAAUCUAUGAACGUCUUCGAGACGCAACCAAGUUUAUGCAUAGCCAACAAAGGUUCAUGCCAUAAUUAAUUAAUGUUAGCUCAUGAAUCAUUUAAUUAUUUGUUGUGGAAUCAAAAUGAUUAACUUUAUUUUUAUUUUUUUUGUAGGCUACAAUGCAAUAUUAAUGAAAAGAUAAUCGCAUUUCUGAAAUUAAGUAACAAAAUUAUGGAUGUGCCUUGCAAAUCUCGCUUUCAAUCUUCCAGAGUAAAUUUUAUUUUCUUUUGCAUAUAUUAUAAUCAUGCAUGAUUGUCAAAAUAAGUUUCGAUGAAUAUGAUAUGACCUAGAUAGACGUAUGUAUAUUGCAUAUACAAGAUCAUUAUACCUUACAUAUGCCUAUAAUAUUGCCAAAACGUUUAUAUUUAUCAGUAUUUACCGAUAAAUUAUGAUAUCAAACGAUUUUCAAUAUUAUUUUUUAAUGGCAUUUUUUCUUCAUUUCUUGGUUAUUGUUAACUUUGGUGAGAUAAUUUGACUUAAAAUAGUGGAUAAAGAGGAUCUAUGUGACAGUUUAACAUGCGAAUUAUUUUGAUUGUUAAGAAGUAUUUAAUUAUCUGUUUAAUUAUAUUAUGGUAGGUUGGACUAAUUGAAAUCAGAGAUGAUGAUAAAGAUAAUAACAACAAUAUUGUUGUGAAUGCUGAUGAUGAUGUGGCUAUUGCUGUUGAUGGUGCAAAUGAUCCUUUAAACUCAAAAGUUUUGAAGGAUGAAAAAAAAUUGUCCCUUGAACUUACUCUUGGUCUCAAGUACUAAAAGGACUUGGAUUUCUAUCCUUUUUUAAGCUUGCUUCCCUUUUAUGUAAUGAUAUUGUCCCAUAUAAUGGGAUAAAAAAUAAAAAUAAACAAUAUAUAUUAAGAUGGGGACCCUAUUAAGAUGAUAGUUGUUUUUAUAAAAUGUUACUUGGUGAUCUCAUUUAUUAUUUGGGUGGAAGAUUAUUAUAUAUAUAUAUAUAUAUAUAUUUCCAAUAAAAUAUGUUAUUUUUUUAAAAAAAAAUGUUUUUUAUGUUUAUAUAUUUUAAGCUACAACUUUAAAUAAUGGAAACUCCUUAAUCCAAUGGUUGACUAAAAGUUAAUUAAUCAAGAGGUCUAAGGUUCGAUUCCCAAAAGAUGUGAUUUCUGAAGAUUAUUAUGGAGUCAAACUCAUAAGAAAAUUUCAAUCAUCGUUCAAGAGAAAUUGCCCAUUUCUUUUUUUUGUUUAACUUCUGAUUUCAAUUGAACUCAUUACGAAAUCUUCAAAAAAGUCUUUAAACAUAACAAAAUUUUUUUUUAACAAAAGACAUUCUCUGCAAGUUUAGGGUUACAAGAAUGGGAAGAAUCAUUCAUUCCAUUACUGUUUGAUUUUUUUUUAGAUGACAUACAAUAUUUCUAAUUCUAAUUUAAUUAACUGAUUUAUAUAAUUCAACGACAACUCAAUUCUGUGAAGACAUUAUUGCUUAUUGACAUAGAGUACCAUUUUCAGAAUGGGAUUGACUUCCAGUAAAAGCUGGAGCCUUAGUUAAAGGAAUAGUGAUAGUCUCAUUAACAGACCAAACUAUUACAGAGCUCAUGGCUGGUCUCUUUGCUGCAUUCUCUUGAACACACAACGAUCCAAUCUGAAUCAACUUUAUGAUCUUUUCUCUCGGAUUUCUAUCAGGAAAGGAUCGACAACAAUCUCUGGUUUUCCUUCAACUAAUCCACUGGACAACUGCAUGUAUGCAACCAACAACAUUAAUUGAUGGUUGUUUCCAAGCAUUUCAAUAUUUUGACAAGUUUACUAGUUUUUAAAUGUUCUUACAUUUGUUAGACUCACUAGACAAAGCGUCAGGAGUGCAUUGCAUCAUCAUGCAUGUAAACAUCUGAAAAUGUUGUAAACUCUGCUCUUAUUAUGACACUAUAGAACCUGAGCACAACCGAAGUAUUUACCCGUUUCUGGAGUACUCUUCUUUUCUAUUAGGUCUAGUACAUAUCCAAGUACUAACUCCCUUGAGCUCGAGACAAAGAGAGAAGCUUGUCAAAUCUAAAAGAGAUCUCGCAAGGGAGUCAAAACUCUGUUUCACGUUGCUGAAUUUUCAAUUGAAAUGUUUUUUUUUUCUACAAGUUCAUGGUUACAGAAUUAAAGUAACCACUCGCGCAUUCAUUCUUUGAUUUAUUUUUAAAUGGCACAUACAUUAUUUCAACCUUUUUCUUGUCAUGCAUUAUACAAGUUUGAACCUCGGCAAUCAAACAUUGACAAUCCUAUUAUAGAGCUCAUCAAAGAUAAAAUGAU